rnacentral:rRNA from 1 species
UUGAACGCUGGCGGCAGGCCUAACACAUGCAAGUCGAACGGUAACAGGAAACAGCUUGCUGUUUCGCUGACGAGUGGCGGCCGGGUGAGUAAUGUCUGGGAAACUGCCUGAUGGAGGGGGAUAACUACUGGAAACGGUAGCUAAUACCGCAUAACGUCGCAAGACCAAAGAGGGGGACCCUCGGGCCUCUUGCCAUCGGAUGUGCCCAGAUGGGAUUAGCUUGUUGGUGGGGUAACGGCUCACCAAGGCGACGAUCCCUAGCUGGUCUGAGAGGAUGACCAGCCACACUGGAACUGAGACACGGUCCAGACUCCUACGGGAGGCAGCAGUGGGGAAUAUUGCACAAUGGGCGCAAGCCUGAUGCAGCCAUGCCGCGUGUAUGAAGAAGGCCUUCGGGUUGUAAAGUACUUUCAGCGGGGAGGAAGGGAGUAAAGUUAAUACCUUUGCUCAUUGACGUUACCCGCAGAAGAAGCACCGGCUAACUCCGUG